rnacentral:rRNA from 1 species
UUAUCUUUGGGUGGGGGAUAACCGCGGGAAACUGCGGCUAAUACCGCAUGACGCCUGUGGGCCAAAGCCGCUGUGAGGUGGUGCCUGAUGAGGAGCCUGCGUCCGAUUAGCUAGUAGGUUGGGUAAUGGCUGACCUAGGCUGUGAUCGGUAGCUGGUCUGAGAGGAUGAUCAGCCACACUGGGACUGAGACACGGCCCAG